rnacentral:lncRNA from 10 species
CGCUGAUGUAAAGAGAGAUUGGAAAUGAUAUAUCUGGCUGGGCAGGUCACUCAUGCCUGUAAUCCCAGCACUUUGGGAGGCUGAGGCAGGCAGAUCACCUAAGGCCAGGAAUUCGACACCAGCCUGGCCAACGUGGCAAAACCCGUCUCUACUAAAAAUACAAAAAUUAGCCGGGCGUGGUGGUGUGCGCCUGGAAUCCCAGCUACCCAGGAGGCUGAGGCAGGAGAAAUGCUGGAACCCGGGAGGCAGAGGCUGCAGUGAGCUGAGAUCAUGCCACUACUGCACUCCAGCCUGGGUGACACAGCAAGACUCCCUCUAAAAAAAGAAAAAAAGAAAAGAAAAGAAAAGAAAAUGAUAUAUCCAUGAUGAAUUAAAAUGGAGUGGAACCCACUGAUGGGAAAGCCACAGAAGGUACCAGUUAUCCACUCACUGACUUAGGUGCCUCCACUAGAAUUCUCAGCACGUUUUUGCAGAAGUAAGUUAUCUUCACUAUUGCUCUAACACUUCUUAGUCUCCUUUUUCUUUCUUUUCUUUUUUUUUAGACAAAGGAAAAGUAAACCGCUGGUUUAGAGUCUUUGGAAGGCAAUUGUAUCUGACUAGAAUUUAAUAUUAUUGUUUUUCUUUCAUUGUAUUGCAUUUAUCUGUAUGGCUAGUUAAACUGAUUUUCCAUUUAAAAGUAGUAAUGCAUUUUUUUAUAAUUACAUUGUUUUAAGUAAACAAGAAUUAUUCAAAGGACAAAAACACUAGCACAGAUGGCAUUCAAUGAUUGCAGAUAUCAUAAAGAUAGUUCAUGAAUGACAAAGAUUUGAGAAGUACUGUGUUCACGAUGCUUCCUGGAAGAGGUGGGUUAUACAGUGUUUCUUAGAGAAAGGGAUAGGGGUCUACUGCUAGGAGGGAAAGAUGAAGCUACUUAGGGGGACUAGGAAACACGCAGUUGGCCUGCCCUCUGCUUGGAGAUCACAGCCAAGGAAACACAGGAGAGGCACCCCCUGGAGGAGCUCCGUGGGCUGCAGGGCUGACGUGGCCCAGCCUGGGCAACAAGAGCGAAACCCCAUCUCAAAACCACAACAACAACAACAGGACAACAGAGAUGGACGACGGAUCGGGAAAGCCAACCAGACAGCGUGAGGCCAGGACGGAAAGAGGCACAGGGAGCUCUGCUCAGUGUCGCUACAGGGGAUCUCUCAGGCUCACAACGGGCCACUCCUCUAGGGAAGUUCUGGUCUCAUCAUGAUCCUUGUUUGGUCUCACUCCCCAUGUCCUUCUCUGUCCCUCCUCCAACUGCCAUUUAUUUAUUUAACUGAAAAAGUACCAAUCACCCACAUAGGCAUGACAUACUCAUCCAUGUACCCAUUUCUUAAAAUUGAUCAUUGUUAACAUUUGGUGUAAUUUGCUUUAUUUAUUUUUAAUGAAAUAAAUAAAACUUUACAGAAAAUGCUUUAUUUUUCUCUUUGUUCCCUCCCCAUCCUAUAUUUUUCUCCUAAAAAACCCUAUUAUCAGAAAUAUUAGUGUGUAUUCCCAGUUUCGACUUUUUAUUUUAUUACACACACACUCCCACACAUAGCUGUGACAAUGAACUUCACAUAGUAUGGUUCUGUAUUUUCUCUUUGUUUUUCAAACUUACAUAAGUAUUUUACUAUUUCUCAUGGAAAAACUCACUUUUCCCAUCCAACGUUAUGUUUCCUUAAGAUCUCUCUAUGUUGAUAUAAAGAAAUCUAGCUCAUUCUUUUUAAUGAAAAUAAAGUAUAUUUUAUGAAUGUAACUCAUGCUAACCAUGGCAAUAAAAGCUCCAUCAAGCAUGCAU